rnacentral:tRNA from 1 species
AAUAAAGUGCCUGAUUAAAGGAUUAUUUUGAUAGAAUAAAUUAAGUAUAUAAUUAUACCUUUAUUA